rnacentral:misc_RNA from 1 species
GAUGAAGAACGCAGCGAAAUGCGAUAAGUAGUGUGAAUUGCAGAAUUCAGUGAAUCAUCGAAUCUUUGAACGCACAUUGCGCCCGCCAGUAUUCUGGCGGGCAUGCCUGUUCGAGCGUCAUUACAACCCUCAGGCCCCCGGGCCUGGCGUUGGGGAUCGGCGGAAGCCCCCUGCGGGCACAACGCCGUCCCCCAAAUACAGUGGCGGUCCCGCCGCAGCUUCCAUUGCGUAGUAGCUAACACCUCGCAACUGGAGAGCGGCGCGGCCACGCCGUAAAACACCCAACUUCUGAAUGUUGACCUCGAAUCAGGUAGGAAUACCCGCUGAACUUAAGAAUAUCAAUAAGCGGAGGA